GACGAACGCUGGCGGCGUGCUUAACACAUGCAAGUCGAACGCUGAAGCCCAGCUUUUGUUGGGUGGAUGAGUGGCGAACGGGUGAGUAACACGUGAGUAACCUGCCCUCUUCUUUGGGAUAACGCCCGGAAACGGGUGCUAAUACUGGAUAUUCACUGAUCUUCGCAUGGGGGUUGGUGGAAAGGUUUGUUCUGGUGGGGGAUGGGCUCGCGGCCUAUCAGCUUGUUGGUGGGGUGAUGGCCUACCAAGGCUUUGACGGGUAGCCGGCCUGAGAGGGUGACCGGUCACAUUGGGACUGAGAUACGGCCCAGACUCCUACGGGAGGCAGCAGUGGGGAAUAAUGCACAAUGGGCGAAAGCCUGAUGCAGCGACGCCGCGUGAGGGAUGGAGGCCUUCGGGUUGUAAACCUCUUUCGCUCAUGGUCAAGCCGCGACGUGGGUUGUGGUGAGGGUAGUGGGUAAAGAAGCGCCGGCUAACUACGUG
rnacentral:rRNA from 1 species